UACGUAGGGGGCAAGCGUUGUCCGGAAUCAUUGGGCGUAAAGCGCGUGUAGGCGGUUCAGUAAGUCCGCUCUGAAAGCCCAGGGCUCAACCCUGGGAGGCGGGUGGAUACUACUGAACUAGAGUACGGAAGAGGAGAUUGGAAUUCCUGGUGUAGCGGUGAAAUGCGCAGAUAUCAGGAGGAACACCAACAGCGAAGGCAGAUCUCUGGGACGUAACUGACGCUGAGACGCGAAAGCGUGGGGAGCAAACAGG
rnacentral:rRNA from 1 species